UCCCUAUACCCUCUCCGGACUGGAAACACAAUUGUUAUGAAUGAGAUCGGGGAAACGUUAUUGCGUUUGCACUAGUGAUACUACGGUAGCAUCCAAGGGGUGUACACACAUGAUGCGUUGAUAGAGGCAGCUAGUUCUCUGUGUAAAUCAGUUGUGCGCUGACUUCUAUUUUAUAUUUUGGGGGUGUGGGGGAAAGAAUGAAAGAGGUCUUCCGCCAAAACGGACGAAAUCAUGAACGGCGCCGUAUACAUUUCGUUUUUUCAAGGUCAGCUGGAAUCUGCACUAGAGCAAGUAGUGCAACUCGCAGUCCAGGAAAUAACCAAGACUGUUGGGUCAAGCUUGAAUUCCGUGUUAAUGAAAACGGCCGUCAAAGAACAAGAAAACCAACGACUUAAGUUAAAGCUUCAAUCACUGGAGUUUGAAUGUAAUGGGGUAGAAAAUGGAGCCGCGUUCAACGGUGGCAUGGAAGACAACGCGGCCACGGAUCGAACAAAGCCCGAGACACACACCCCCAGCCACUGCACAGAGCGCGGCGUGCACGCAAACACUCAAAGACUGGAUCAAAAAGGACGAGUAGUGGGUCAGCUAAAGAUGGUCAUGGAGCAUGUGCUGGAGUUUGCUGUGUGCGAGCUGACCAAAAUCGUGGAGGCCAGUUUCGAUGACCUGCUCCUGGAGAUGACCAAGAAAGAGCGGGAGCACAGCGCUCUGGAGGAGCAGUUACGCCGUGUGGCUCACCGGGAGAACGGGAAGGGUGGGGUGUCAAGGAGGUGUGGGUCAGAAAACAACACAGCAUUUCCCAGCGGCUCAGAGGACACUAGGCAGGAAUCCAGAAACGUCACAGUCAAAAUUGUCAGAGGACAAAGGGAGCAAACGGAGACAACAAAUGACAGUGACAAGCAAGCUGUCCUGACCGUAGCCCAGGACUGGGUCCCCAUCCUGGACAAGGUCUUUGGGCAGAAGUGGUGCAGCGACCUGUGGCAAAUCAAAGAGCUGGCUUCAGGGAAGGGGGGUGAGGAGCGGACCGGGGGAUCUGGGCUGGGGAUUGUGGGCUCCUUCCCCAGUCUGAACGCCCUGAUCCGUGAAAACCUGGAGCCCUCCCCCACCAGCCCCCUGCAAGACCCCCAGUGGAUGCCUCUGGAGGACAUGGAGGUCCUCUCCUCGACCUUGGACACUCCGCAAGACCCUCCUGCUACCAUAAGCACCACAGUUGAGGAGUCCCUCAGGUCUCCGUCGAUGCUUCACCGGCUCCUCACACUCCCCGCUCAGCUCCUAGAGGAAGACGAGAACACCAUGGAAACCAUCCCCCUGCUCCCCGACGCUUCACCUGGCAGAGCAGCUGUGCGCCGUCAAAACACAGAAUCACCUAACCAGACCUGCCCAUCUCCUCCCAAGAAAAAGGUUGCUGUUUCACAGGAGGAGGAGGAGGAGGAGGAGGAAGACGAAGAGAAGGAAGACAAAGGGACAACGACGCUGGACUCAAAGGUGAAGACCGUGCCUCUCAAAGGCAGGAAGGGUUACGAGUGUAAAGAAUGCGGCAAGAAGUUCAGCCGAGCGCCGCUCCUGAAAGCUCACCAGCAGACUCAUAUCAGCACAGCACUGGCGAAGACGACAGCAAUCUGCUGUUCCGAGUGCGGGAAACGCUUCUCCCAGGCAUCCCGGCUACAGGCGCACCUACGAACACACACUGGGAAAAAGUCUUGAGCAGAUGGAAAAGGGAAUUGGAAGAUUGAAGCAAAAAAAAAAAGGAGAAUUGGAAUCAAAGUCGAUUAUCAGUCCAUAUCUCACAUAUAGCCAUAUCAGUAGCAGGAUGGUCACCGGUUCUCGAGUUCAUACAUUUGAGUUCACUUUUAAGUACCUUAAGUCGGGAAUCGGUGGCAUUUUUUCCAGGUACAGAUUUGCUGACUGCUGUUUCUUAAUUGUUACCACCAUUUUGAUUUCCUACAUGUGGCGACAAGGUAAAUACUUUGUAAUCAUUUGGGAUUGGAUCUCGCUGGUAGUUGUGGUUAGUAUGUAUCGCCAUUGUACAUUCUCUAUAGCAUGGGACAGUGGCGCUCACAACAAACAAUGAAGUUACAUUUUUAAGUGAUCUUUUUACUUUUCGCAAUAUACUUUUCUAAAUUUUUGGAAUAUCAAACUGGUCUCUUUGCUUUAUUAUUUCACAUCAAGGUUAUUUGCUAUACCGGAGUCCAUAAUCUUGACUUUUGUGGACUACAACUUCAACAAACAUUACACUGAUUUGUGAGAGUUGUAUCUUUCAGUGGCAGAAGCGUUGUCUCAUCUUUUUCCCGGUGCUACAAGCAGUGACUCAAUUUCAAAGGGCGUAUGUGCCCAGGGUAAAGGGGGAGAGAGACGGACUGCUGGAGUCAAUAGCAGAGGGAAGGUUGUUUCUGUGGCUCUGUUUCCAAGGCAUCAGUCCGGCUUCUACACCAGAGCGGGAAACCCACGGCAACGUCCCAAUCCAUUGUAGUCGUACUCACGUGCCCACUGACUUUCUGUUAAAGUAGUCGUACUAGCGCUCUUCUGAAUUUGUGCUCCUGUGCUACCUUUUCAUAUUUUGCUUAAUUGUAGCCACAGAUUACAUCUUAGUUUACACUCCCUUGUGCUUUAACUCAUGUAAGUCCUUGACAUAAGUGUAGAUGAAUUACUAUGUAUCAGAAACCAUCAGGACCAUAUGUUCUAAUUCUAUUUCUAUCGGAAUCUGAGAAGACAAUAUAUUACAAAAGAUAUGUUUUUUUUUAUUCAGGUCAAACCAACAUCAAAGUUUACAUGGGCACAAUUUAAAAAUGGUUUGGUACACAACCUCUCGCAUCUUCAACUGUUACCAAUUUAAAGAAAUUGCAUGCAACGUAUUCACAUUUUCAUAAGAUACAAUGUAUGGAGAGAGAAUUUCCCUCCUUGACUUCAGGGUUGUAACCAAUGUGCAAAUUGAUGAUUUUAAAGUGUUUUAACACUGGUUUCUAAUGCAAAAGAGCAUUAUUGGCCAAAGAGCUGAACUGAUUAUUGGGAAAAUAUAAUUGGCCUUUCCUAUGUAAACACAGCCUAAGACUGAAACAUUGUAGAAACCCUUAAAGGCUUUAAGUGGUAGAAAAUGUAUGUUGCUGAUUGUAUCUGCAGCCAGUGCUGCACACUUGCAAUUAAUGACUUGCUAUUUUUUUUUUACAUUUACAUUUUAGUCAUUUAGCAGACGCUCUUAUCCAGAGCGACUUACAGUAGUGAAUGCAUACAUUUCAUACAUUUUUUUUUUUCUGUGCUGGCCCCCCGUGGGAAUGAUUGAUGAUAGGACAAAGCAUAGGCCAAUCUAGAACUCACACAGUGCACUUCAUUCCCACUAAAAGCAGUGUUGUGUAGACACAUCACCACUCAAAACACGUUUGUGCUCCGCAGUAAGCUAACCUUGAACAGUGCUGAAUUGCAAAUUUCAAGAAGAUUGGUGUGAUGUAUCAGUAUUUAAGCUUUUGUUUUGUCUGAACUCCAUUAAUUGGAACUGUAAACUUGACACAUCUGCUUUGUUUUACUUUUCAAUGUUAGCCAUACCCUGACCCCGUCUUUCUCCUAUCUAGCACUUUGCUCUCGCAUUGAUGUUGUCUCCUAAUGCCCGACAAGUGUAAUCAAGACUUAACACACCUCUUGAAAGAGUUGUGACGACUGUGUUCAAAUGCCUCAUUUUGUUGUUUUUGCUUUUGCUAAUGAAUCACCAAACCACUUUUCUUCAAAUGCCUAUUCUGACACGUAUUCUUCUAAUUUAUAGCACUUUGUUAUUUUUGCUGUUACUUUACAAGACCUCCAUACCUCAUUUUGAAUAUCAGAAAAGAGUAAACACAGCAAAUUGGUUAUUUGAAACACCAUUACCUCAAUAUUAUUACAAUACUAUCACAAAUAUUAAUGUUUGUCUGCAUGACAAUAGUGUUUCAUUGGCAUUAACUAGCACAACCUUAAGGAUUCCUACCAAAACAGUUCAAUAUUAAGCCAUAUUCUCUUCCUUUGUCACAUGGGCAUACAGAUAGCUGCCACAAUAAUGGAAACACUUGAGUAAAUGAGGGAUACAAAGUAUAUUGAAAGCAGGUAAUUCACAACCCAUCAUGCUUAGGGUCAUGUAUAAAAAUGCUGGGCAGGCCAUUAUUUUGGUUACCAUGGUUAUGCCCCCAUCCACAGGGCACGAGUGGUCACUUAAUGUUUUGAAGAGCAUGAAAAUGAUGUAAACCAUAUGCCAUGGCUGUCUCAGUCACCAGAUCUCAACCCAAUUGAACAAUUAUUUCUCAUGGAAGAAUGGUGUCUCAACCCUCUGAGAGUUCCAGACACUUGUAGAAUCUAUGCCAAGGUGCAUUGAAGCAGUUCUGGGUCGUGGUGGUCCAACACCCUAUUAAGACACUUUCUGUUGGUGUUUUCUUUAUUUUGGCAGUUACCUGUUUGUAAGGUUGCAAACAUUGAUGGGACCCACACAAAUGUUAUUUAGUUACCUGGCAAAGAUGGCUCUCUGCAGAAAUAUAGGACAUUUAAUAUCACACGUCACAGAGUCAACUAUUAUCCUUAUGCACGUAACAGAGGGAUAUAGUUAUAACCUACUAAGAGCAUGCACACAGAUUUGUCAUUAAGAAGUGCAUUCAAUCGAGCAUUGCAUUAUUGUAAAGAAAUGUUGUGUCCGCUUCUAGACAUUCAUUUAGGCUAUUUCCUGAAAAGUGGUUGAAUGGUUCCCUUUUAGAAGUAAUGAACUGAGUAAAAGCCUCAUCCUCAUUUGAACUAAACGUGGAGGUGCAAAAUUAUUAAAGUGAUUUCAACUGAAUUGUGAUGCUACAUUUUGAAAGAAGGAAUUAAAUGGAGUAGACAUCUUUUUUAGAAUUCAUGAUUUUGGUUGUUUUUUCUUAGAAGUAUUAGAAUUAUGUUUGUAAUCCAGGGAACAUGUGCAGAUUUCAAAUUGAUAUCCAAAUAAAAUAAAUUCAUAAGGAUUUUAUUUAUUUUAUGUUCCAUUUGUGAUAUUGUUAAAUUGUUUUAGUUCUUCACUCAAUUAUAUUCUGAUAAGAUGUGAUCGAUUGUAGGACAUACAAGCGAUCACAAGAUCGUAAGAUAUUAAUUUGAGCCAGUUUGCUGCAGCAACAGGAAAGUAGAAUUAUGUGGAUUAUAAUUAAAUGGACAUUUUUGUAGGGGUUGAUACAUUUUUUGUAAGGGAAAUCAAGUCAAAUUUCAAAGUGGAAAUUAAACUUCAGAUGCCUUUUUACAUGUUUUAAAUGUCCUGCAUUGCAAUAAAGUUCUGCAACAGGGUGAUCAAAUGAAGAUCCUACAUCUGUAUUCCCUUUAAUUUGGCAUGCUGAAACUAGAUUUUGCCAAAUUGUAGAGUAGUUUGGUUUCUGUAUUUCUUAAAAACGAGAGCACUUCUGAAAUGCCAUUCAUGCCAAAUCAACUCUGCCAAGAUAAUUAUAUUAUGUAGGCAAUGGGACGUUGUGUUAUACAUAUUAGAAAAUAACUGGGUACUUAGUGUAAGAAAAAUAAAUCAAUAAAAUGUUAACAUUCAA